rnacentral:rRNA from 1 species
AGAGUUUGAUCCUGGCUCAGAUUGAACGCUGGCGGCAUGCUUUACACAUGCAAGUCGGACGGCAGCACAGAGAAGCUUGCUUCUUGGGUGGCGAGUGGCGGACGGGUGAGUAACAUAUCGGAACGUACCGAGCAGUGGGGGAUAACUAAUCGAAAGAUUAGCUAAUACCGCAUAUAUUCUGAGGAAGAAAGCAGGGGACCAUUUGGCCUUGCGCUGUUUGAGCGGCCGAUAUCUGAUUAGCUAGUUGGUGGGGUAAAGGCCUACCAAGGCGACGAUCAGUAGCGGGUCUGAGAGGAUGAUCCGCCACACUGGGACUGAGACACGGCCCAGACUCCUACGGGAGGCAGCAGUGGGGAAUUUUGGACAAUGGGCGCAAGCCUGAUCCAGCCAUGCCGCGUGUCUGAAGAAGGCCUUCGGGUUGUAAAGGACUUUUGUCAGGGAAGAAAAGGGCGGGGUUAAUACCCCUGUCUGAUGACGGUACCUGAAGAAUAAGCACCGGCUAACUACGUGCCAGCCGCCGCGGUAAUA